GGUUGACCUCGGAUCAGGUAGGGAUACCCGCUGAACUUAAGCAUAUCAAUAAGCGGAGGAAAAGAAACCAACCGGGAUUGCCUCAGUAACGGCGAGUGAAGCGGCAAAAGCUCAAAUUUGAAAUCUGGCUCCUUCGGGGUCCGAGUUGUAAUUUGUAGAGGAUGCUUCGGGUGCGGCCCCCGUCUAAGUGCUCUGGAAUGGGCCAUCAGAGAGGGUGAGAAUCCCGUCUGGGGCGGGGUGUCCGCGUCCGUGUGAAGCUCCUUCGACGAGUCGAGUUGUUUGGGAAUGCAGCUCUAAAUGGGUGGUAAAUUUCAUCUAAAGCUAAAUAUUGGCCGGAGACCGAUAGCGCACAAGUAGAGUGAUCGAAAGAUGAAAAGCACUUUGAAAAGAGAGUUAAAAAGCACGUGAAAUUGUUGAAAGGGAAGCACUUACGACCAGACUCGCUCACGGGGUUCAGCCGGCUUUCGGGCCGGUGUACUUCCCCGGGAGCGGGCCAGCGUCGGUUUGGGCGGCCGGUUAAAGGCCCCUGGAAUGUAACACCCCUCGGGGUGUCUUAUAGCCAGGGGUGCCAUGCGGCCAGCCCAGACCGAGGAACGCGCUUCGGCACGGACGCUGGCAUAAUGGUCGUAAAUGACC
rnacentral:rRNA from 1 species